UACCAAUCACAAAUGCCUACUUUUACUCUAUCUUCCUCUUGCUUUUCUUUUCGAUUUUAAAUCAUGAUGUAUGAAAGUAUGAAUCCCAGCUCUACUCCCUUGCAACAUGACACAUGGAUGACACUCUUUUCAACAGUACUACUUGUCUCUGUAAUUACAUUGUUACAUACAAAAAUUACAAAAAAAAAAAACUAGAAAUAAAGCCAUAUGCAGAACAACUUUGUUGAUAGGCGAUUGAAUUGAAUUUUCCAGCAUCCUUCAGAGCUGCCGCUAAUUUCGAAGAAGAAGGAGUCUGGAAAGGGUGGUUUAGAGCGAGGAGAGUACUUUGUGAGCAUCUUGAUUUGAAAGGUAUGCGAGGAGAGUACUUUGUGAGCAUCUUGAUUUGAAAGGUAUCAAUUUUUUUUUAUCACUCUUAUGUUUUUCUGAAUUUUUAUUAGGUUUUGAUUCCUUCCUUUUAAGUGGUUUUUAUGAUCUAUGAAUGAAUUUGAAUGAAAACGCUAGUUUAGCAUAACACGCAAGCAUGUGAAAUGGUUUUGUGCUCUUUGAGCGGGCCUGAACCGCCAUUGCCAUUUGAUGAAAAAACACCAGCUUCAACCAUGAUGCUUUGGGAUGCGGUUCUUUGCCUCUUAUGGAGACGUUGAAGAGUAAGCAAAACCCACUUCUCCUCUUCUUCUGUUACAUUUUUUUCUCCUUUAAUUUUCUUAAUUAUCCUUUAAAAAACAAAGGAAAAAACUGUUUGAAGGUGUAGACCAAUGGAUGCAGAAGAUUGUGAGAAAUUUACUGAUGUUUACUGGAUUAAAUUCCGCCUGAUCAGCAAUGCCAUGUGAGCUGAUGGUUUCAUUCAUCCAUUUCAUCUUCCGGGGCAUUCAUUUUUUACAUAUCCAAUAAUAAUAAUAAUAAUAAUAUAUCAUGUGCUUAAUUUCUAGGUUUGCUAAAAGAAAAUUGGACGUAUCCAUUUUCCGAGGGAACCCUUUGUAGGUCUCCUAUGCUCCUCACUUUGAGACUGUCUCUGACAAAAAGGAAAAGUUAGAAGGAAGAAGAAAGUUAGUUUAACAAUUAGAAUUUGGUUCUAUGAUUUUAGUUUGCGUGGCUGUUAAGGAUUUUGUACCUCUGUCUAGUAAGUCAUUCUUUAAUGGUUUCAGCUGGAAGAACCAAGGGUCCCAAAGUUCAUAACCUGGGCACUUCGAGCCAGGCUUCAUUGCUUACAUCACAGAUUGACCACGUUUCUCAGCACCUCAACUCUAAUCAAUCUUGGAAGGCUGUUUAGAUUUUCUGUCCAGUUUUUCUCCUCCAUGAAAGUGUUCAAAUGUGGCAGUUUCAUUUCCUAUGCAUAUGAUUAAUCUGUCCUACGCAUCUGUAGGGACUCUGGAGAAUCACAAAAUGUUCACCAGAUAGGUGAUCCUCCUGUUACAAGGGUGUCCUGUGGCCAGGAUUAUUUUCCAGCCCAGUCAAUGAAACAGACUGUUAGAUUGGCCAGGGAGAAGUUCAAUAAGGUACUCGAGCAUCUACAAGCCGCGCCUGCAUCCAAGAAGCACGAGUUGACAAUAGAAGAAGAAUCUGAUACAACUUUUAUACUGGGCUAAUGGAGAGGAUCAUCAUUGAUCACGGGUCCUGUUUUCCAGUCUUUAACUCAGCUGCCAAAAUACCUCUUGCAGCGUUGCUGCUCGCAGCAAUCAGUUAGGCAGCAGCAGUGGGGGGUGGCAAGAUGCGACAUUAUAAAUCCGAAAAAAAAAGAAGAAAUAACGUUGUAUUUUUGUGCAACACAUGCAACUAUUUUAUUCAUUUUUGAUCUAUUAAUGUGAGUGAAAGGAGAUUAUGCCGAGGAGGUCAGAUAAAGCCUUUCAGGGAUGGACUGCUCUUUUUGGUAAUAUUCUGGGAGGAAAUUAAUGUGCUCUUGCACUAAUGGCUGAGAGCAAGGAUAGGGUCCU